rnacentral:rRNA from 1 species
GAUGAACGCUAGCUACAGGCUUAACACAUGCAAGUCGAGGGGCAGCAUUUUUCUAGCAAUAGAAGAGAUGGCGACCGGCGCACGGGUGAGUAACACGUAUCCAACCUGCCGAUAACUCCGGAAUAGCCUUUCGAAAGAAAGAUUAAUACCGGAUGGCAUACGAAUAUCGCAUGAUAUUUUUAUUAAAGAAUUUCGGUUAUCGAUGGGGAUGCGUUCCAUUAGUUUGUUGGCGGGGUAACGGCCCACCAAGACUACGAUGGAUAGGGGUUCUGAGAGGAAGGUCCCCCACAUUGGAACUGAGACACGGUCCAAACUCCUACGGGAGGCAGCAGUGAGGAAUAUUGGUCAAUGGACGAGAGUCUGAACCAGCCAAGUAGCGUGAAGGAUGAAGGUCCUACGGAUUGUAAACUCUUUUAUACGGGAAUAAAGUUAGCCACGUGUGUUUUUUGUAUGUACCGUAUGAAUAAGGAUCGGCUAACUCCGUG